rnacentral:rRNA from 1 species
AUGGAAAGAACUUUGAAAAGAGAGUGAAAAGCACUUGAAACCGUCAUGGGGGAAGCGAAUUGCGUUAGUGAUGUCUGUGGCUGUUCAGCUUUUGGUUUUUGGAGUGGCGAAAGUCAUUUCAUAGAAAGUGCAUUCUGGCACAGACAGGCCUGCGUGGCUGGCGGGAGUGUGACGAGACGGCGAAUGAGCGUGGCCGGGUCAUUUUAUGAUUCUGCUGCGCCUGUUCUGUCGACACUUGGCACUCGUUCGCUGGUGAGGGCUCCCCUGAAACACGGGUGAGGACGCUGGCGAAAUGACGCAAUACGACCCGUCUUGAAACACGGACCAAGGAGUCUAGCACGGCUGCGAGUCGAAGGGUGUGAAAAACCCAAUGGGCGCAGUGAAAGCGAAAACGUUGUUCUACGGGGCAUCGGCAAAGCCAAAUUGGGGAGGCGUUGUGGUUCUACCAAAAUGUCCUACCUUGAGCAGGUGUGCUGGGACCCGAAAGAUGGUGAACUAUGCCGGAGUAGGGCAAAGCCAGAGGAAACUCUGGUGGAGGCUCGUAGCGAUGCUGACGUGCAAAUCGCUCGUCGAACUUGGGUAUAGGGGCGAAAGACUAAUCGAACCAUCUAGUAGCUGGUUCCCUCCGAAGUUUCUCUCAGGAUAGCGGGCCGACAAAAACAAUGAAUGAAUGUUGUUCUGUGU